UACGAAGGGGGCUAGCGUUGCUCGGAAUCACUGGGCGUAAAGGGUGCGUAGGCGGGUCUUUAAGUCAGGGGGGAAAUCCUGGAGCGCAACUCCAGAACUGCCUUUGAUACUGAAGAUCUUGAGUUCGGGAGAGGUGAGUGGAACUGCGAGUGUAGAGGUGAAAUUCGUAGAUAUUCGCAAGAACACCAGUGGCGAAGGCGGCUCACUGGCCCGAUACUGACGCUGAGGCACGAAAGCGUGGGGAGCAAACAGG
rnacentral:rRNA from 1 species